CAUCCCCGUGCUGCACAGAUGCCGGAGUGGAAGCGACAGGCGCGCUCAUCCAAACGCAUCGAACACAGGGGACGUGGGAGAAGAUCGUCCGGUUUGCGUCCGUCUAAGAGCUCCAGACCGCGGGGAACGAUGCUCGGAGCAAGUCGCUCGGUGGGAAGCAGGACUUAAAAAGCUGCGGAACACUUUUAUCUUUACUCUCUCUUUCCCCUUUCCUUAUCCCCCACUCCGACAAUAAUCAAGAUUCCGGGCAGUCGCCGUCCAGUUUUCUCGAUCUCUGAGAAUUUAGAGCCAGUUUCAGGACAGGUCGGUGUUUCGUUUGGACACGAUGUGGAAGUCGGGAACCCUCCUCCUGCUGUUGCUGUGGCUGGCAUCCGGCGAACUCCAGCAAGAGACGGAGCCGCGGAGACUCCCACCCCCAGGAAAGUUGAAUUUCGGCUAUGUGCCAGCGGGAGUUUACGAGACGCUGGCCCAUUACGAACCUGGACCGAUAGGGAUUCUGUUCCACAUGGUCCAUGCUUUCCUGUAUGCGGUGCAACCCAACGCUUUUCCACACGAUCUUAUUGUCAAACUGGCAAAGGACAAGUUUGGAGCCAUUCAGACGGAAUAUCAAAAGCCAGAGAACAUAGUGCUGACCCUUCAGGCCAUCUACUAUGAGAUAGGCUUCCUAGUAUGUGCAGCAGUGGGCCUGCUCUUUACCAUUCUGAUGCCAAUAGUCGGGCUCUUCUUCUGCAUGUGCCGCUGCUGUGACAACUGUGGUGGUGAGAUGCACCAACGGCAGAGGAAGAAUGCAGACUGCCGGCGUGGCCUCCUGGGAACGCUGCUCUUCUCCACCUCACUGGUCAUCACGAUUGGAGUGCUGUGUGCGUAUGCCGCCAACCAGAACCUGAGCUCUCAGGUGAAGAACGUACGGAGACUGGUCAACAGCAACAUGAGGGAUCUGCACACUUUCGCUAACGACACACAGAUGCAAAUUGAUUACCUAAUAUCCCAGUAUGCCACAGCCAAGAACAAAGUCAUCUAUGACCUAGAUAACAUAGGUCCAUUAUUGGGUGGAAGAAUACAUGAUCAGUUGGAUAAGGAGGUCCGUCCUGCCUUGGACCAAGUCCUCAAUAUGGCUGGAGCCAUGCGGGAAACCAAGGAGGCCUUGGAGAGCGUUAAUGCAUCUCUGGAGGUGCUUCAGGAUGGAACAGGGAAACUGAGCCUAAACCUGGGCCAAGUCCGGACCAGCAUCAACCGCACCCUAAAUGACCCUGGCUGCCAUGAUGAAGACUCGGAUGCUACCACAGCCCAGCUAUGCCGCAACAUUCGCCAGUCGCUGUCCCAGCUGCAGAUCAGCUCAAAUUUCACACGGCUACCCGAUGUGAAUGCACAGCUGGAAAAGAUGAACGAUGUAUUGAAAACAGACCUCAGCGCUGUCGUUCAGAGGGGCUUCUCCUCUUUAAACGACACGCCGCAUAUGGUGAUUGAACAGACCAGAAGUGUUGUUGAGAGUGUAACAAAUUUGGUGGAUAGCAUUGGCAAUAACAUCAGCAGCUUUUCCAAGGCAUUGCCAGUGCAGAGCUGCCUGUCCAACUUCACCAUCUUUGUUAACCAUGUGCACGCCAGGAUUGAAGACUACUACCCAGAAAUUGACAAAAUGGACUUCUACAGGUGGAUUGGCUGCAUUGCUCUUUGUUGCAUGGUGGUCCUGGUCCUGGCCUUCAACUACCUGGGCCUGCUGUGCGGCACGCUGGGCUAUGACAAACAUGCCUCACCUACAACACGGGGAUGCAUCUCCAAUACAGGAGGAACGAUGCUUAUGGCUGGAGUUGGAUUUAGCUUCCUCUUCUCCUGGGUACUGAUGGGAGUGGUGACCAUCAUCUUCCUGGCUGGAGGGAACAUGGAGAAACUUGUGUGCGAACCAUUCCACACCAAAGAGCUUUUCAAGGUUGUGGAUACUCCAUAUAUGAUCAACCCAGAGUGGAAGAACUUCAUCCCUGGCUACAUGUACAACGACUCUGAGCUGGAGUUGACAACAGAGAGCUUAUACAGUACUUGCAAAAAGAACCAAGGCAUCUACUCUGCCAUGCGUCUGGACAAAGUCUUCAAUAUCUCCUCUUACCUGAACACCACAGUGUUCACAAAGGAUGUGGUCAGUCAGCUGGACAGUCUUAAGAUCGACCUGAGAAGCAUAAUCCUGUUGGAGGCAGAGGGAAGGCAGAACCUGCUGGAUUUCUCUGAAGCAGGGCUGUCAGAGAUCAACUACGCCGACUACCUGGAGGAGGUGAAUAAGGGGGUCACUGUAGUGGAUCUACUCUCAUUUGCCAGAGAACUGGAGGCCCAGACAGACCUGAUGCCCAAAAGUCGUCUGCAGUCUGCUCUGAAAGGCCACGUUGGCACUCUGCGGCAGAUCCACAGGCAACAGAUCGUCCCAAUGGAGCAAUCCAUGAAGUAUGUUAGAGCAAGGAGUGCGCUGAACCAGAGUAUGAGGUUCCUGGAGAGAACAGCCUCUGAUCUUCCUAACAAAAUCUUAGCUGUUCUUGAUGCCAUCAAAGCUGCGCAGUUCCUCAUCUCGCAGAACGCUACGCAUUUGAUAAAUCGGGAAUCCAGAAAAUACACCGCCACCAUUAUUGGCUACUUUCAUCAAUACAUUGAAUGGGUGAAAACAUCUCUGGCCAUGGAGGUUGCACCGUGCAAGCCCUUCAGCAACGUGGUGGACACGGCAGAAAUCAUGGCUUGCAGUUUCGUGGUUGACUCUAUGAACACUUUCUGGAUGGGCCUGGGCUGCAGCACUCUCCUCCUGCUCCCGAGCAUUAUUCUAGCAGUAAAACUGGCCAAGUACUACCGCAGGAUGGACACAGAGGAUGUUUACGAUGACACUGAGACAAUUCCCAUGAAAACUAUGGAAAUUGGUAAUAAUGGUUAUCAUAGUGAGCGCUUACAAGGUAUUCCUAAUCCUGUGAUGACAAGCAUCCCUACCUAUGAUACUAUGAACAGGUUCCCGCGGGCCUCGGCUCCUCCGAGGCACAUCGACUGGUGACAGAGCCGCCUCUUGUUCUGGCUCCUGAAAGCUUGUUUUAGUGCAUUUCUGCUCACUGAAGAACCAUCAUGUGCCCUCGAAAACUGGAACUGAAAUACGUCAUACUUUUAAUUUCCUAAAUCCUUGGACCAGAUGAGGCUCAGUGAAAGCUGGUUUCCUCACAACAAAAGAACCCAUGUCCUGCAGGCGUUAUCUUCAGCGAUGAACCGAACCUGCUCGGCCUUCAGUACGGUUACAGCCUGCAGGAUAUCAAACUCUUCUCCCCUCAGCAUCAAUCUGAGCCAGGCUUGUUCUGCAUUUUUUGUAAAGGACUGCUUUGUCUGCGUUUACAUUUGUUCAGAUAUGAAACAAAGCAGAAAAACAUUCAGUGACAGGACAUGACAUUAACUGUGAUGCUUGUUCAUUUUAAUGUGCUUCUUUGUGCUUACGAAAACAAAAGCUGGAAGGUCAGACGAAGGUAACUGCAAGCAGAGGACUCUUUAUUUUUCCUUCUCCUGCUUCCUGCAUUUAAAAAGGGAUGUGACACUUUCAACUCAAACUAGUGGCAGUGUGUCAUUACAUCUGAGAUGAAUGCAAAUUAACCACAACAGCCUGUUAAAAAGUGUUGAAUAGUACACAUACUUUUUUAAGUGCAGCAUGUGUGAAGUGGUGGAUCUGUGUUAUCUUCAUGAUUGAGAAUUUGAGUAAAGUGGUAAAAUAGAGGUUAGGGGGUAUUCUACAAAAAAAAUAGUCUCUUUAAAAUGUUUACAAUAUCACAGGAACGUUUAUCUUCGCUGGUUUGAUGCGCAUUACAAAAGACUGGUUGCCUUUGUAUGGAGUUUGAGAGCUGCUACUUUUUAAAAGAGGAAAUCUGCCAUCAGCUAAUCUUACACUGCUGAAAAUCAACAAUCUGGGAGUUAUUUUUGUGGUAAAGAUCCAAACUGUGCUCUUUUUCCUAGAAUACCUAUCUUCCCUUACCCUGUGUCAUCCACAUCUACAGGUGGCAAUUCUCUACAUUUUUCCAGAAUGCCUUUUAAACAAGUCAUUUGUAUCCAGUAGGGAUGUAAAAUUACUUUAUUUCAAAGAGAUGAAAUGAAAUGUAACAAAUUGAUUCUGUAAUGCUUUCUACUGUGACGAUGAUGUCCGUAGUAUGUUUUGCUCAUGCAUUAUCAUCCCAGGGUGUCAAACACAGACAUUCUGUCUGUGGCUGCUGGCCCCUUUGAUCCGUGCGAGGUGUUCUGUGGUGUUAAUAUGGAGAUGCACUGACUGUAAUAUUUGACAGUGAGAGACAAAGAUAUUAAUCUUAUGUGGGAGGCAAGGUGGUGAUGAUGUAAAGUACAGGUUUUUCAGUGUUUGUGUUUCAUGUCCAUUUUGUUGUCAUUUUACGUUCACCUUCACUGGGUGCUUGGUCGGGUUUAUGCACGAGAACUAGCUGGUUAUUUUUAGGAAAAGAUGGCUGUUUUGAUUCAAAUAUUCCCCUCAACAACGCUGCAACUUGAAAAAUGAUAUUAAUUGAACUCUUGUAAUUAAGAGUCCAUAUAGCAACACUUGUCUCACUAUUAGCCGGUGCGUCUCAGUACUAACGUCCUACAUUCAAAAUGUGCAUCUCACACAAAAUGACUGUAUUUGAUGCCCUGGGAAUAAGAUUGCUCCAGUUCAAAUUCUGAAUACAUUUUAAACUAUUAGAUUCCAAUUUUUAAUCUUUUAGGUUUUAAAUGUUUCCUGAUGUGUCAAUGAAACCUCAUAGAUUAGGUAAGCUGGUUUUUAAUGGUACUAUGGGGGCAGAAAUGUUGGGGCUAACCCCCCACCUCCUCAGCCCUUGUUUUGAUAAUCAUUUCUGGAUAUCUCAGGUAUACAAGAACCUUGAGGAAGUCUCACCCCCAAAUAGCAUGCUACUGAUGUGGACAGACCUGUAACACCACAAAACAAAACCACACCAGUUUUUUCAACAGUGUAAGCUUUUUUUAGGUGGAUUUUCCCUUUAAAUCAUAUACUAAAUUCAAAACGCAAACAGACAAAUGUCUGGCUUUUAGGUUCCCUGUGUGACAGAUUGAGUCCUUGUCACAAGGUUUGUUGAGUUCACUAACAUAAUAUUUUUAUUAUGAUUUGUUUUUUCAUAGUGGUGAUACUUUUACAGUGGAGAAUAAUUCUCAAGCCAAAUCUUUCUUUCUUUCUUUUUUUUUAAAAACUGUAGCUCUCAGGUCUUUAGGGGUCUAUCAACUAUGUGCUUAUUUUGUUCCUCUGCUUUAUAUAAACCCACAGUAGCUAUGGAUACAUUUAAAAGCUAUGAAAAAAGUGAAUGUAUUCAAGAGCUAUUUUCUUUUUAUUUCACAUUGCUUGAUAUGGAAGUUGAGAAAUAUGCUGAAAUCUAUGUGUAACGCAACGGGCAAACACAUCCAGUUGUCCCACUCUCUUUGCCCUUAUGUUUACAGGUUAGAUUUGCAGCUGCUGUUAGCAGAGUAAUGAUGGCGAAAAAAAUUAGACAAUCCAUGAUUGGGAAUAGUGAGUGCUAUCAAUCAAGAGUAGAAAAAUAAGCAUGCUUCAUGUUUUGCACAGCAUGGUGUUGAUGCACACUGCGGAAAAAAUGUCCAUCUUAACACUGAAACAUAUAUUUUUGUUAACAUAGCACAGUUGUUCUUUAAAGUACCACACAAUCACUAAUUUAGGGGUAAAUAAAAGUUAUUAUGAUAAGUAUAUUUGUCUCUAACAUUGGCAUCAAUGAUUUAGCGUCAGAAAUAGGAAUGAAAUAUCCAGUUUAUUUAUCUUAUUUCAAUAUUUUUAUUUCCAUAGCUCUGUCAUUGUAAACCAGGGCUAAGUGAUGAUGAGAAAAGAAAUACUCUGUAUAGAUAAACCUAAAUUAUGAUGUAGUAAUAGAAUAUUUGCAGUGUAGGAAACUCCCAGCAUCAAGAUGAAGUUUCUGAAUUAUAUUGAACUUUAAACACAGACUGGCUUCUACUGAGUCACUGAUAUUCUUUUUUAUUUUGAGACACAUUUCUUGUUAAAAUGGACAUUUUUGAAGUAUCCGUGUGCUCACAGGACUAUCAUUGGGUUUCUGCGAAAGUUUGGAUGUGAGAGAAAAAUGUUUGAAUUUACUAAGUGCUUACGCUAGAUAUCCUGUAUGCUAACCCUGGAUGGAUCAGAUACAGCGGUAACUGGUUUGAACUGUGAUGCUCCAAAGUUGGGCACUGAUGGAGCCACUGAAGAGUAGGUUUAUAUGAUGUGAUGGAAAGAAAGUGUAUAAAUUGUGAAUAAAGUUUUAAAAUCCAAA